AUGGGAAACAGGUUAAUAUUCCUGUACUUGGUGUUACUGCGAAGGGGGGACGGAGAAGGCUAUGUUGGCCGGGCGACGGUUGUCCCGGUUUAAGCGUGUAGGCUGGUUUUCCAGGCAAAUCCGGAAAAUCAAGGCUGAGGCGUGAUGACGAGGCACUACGGUGCUGAAGCAACAAAUGCCCUGCUUCCAGGAAAAGCCUCUAAGCAUCAGGUAACAUCAAAUCGUACCCCAAACCGACACAGGUGGUCAGGUAGAGAAUACCAAGGCGCUUGAGAGAACUCGGGUGAAGGAACUAGGCAAAAUGGUGCCGUAACUUCGGGAGAAGGCACGCUGAUAUGUAGGUGAAGCGACUUGCUCGUGGAGCUGAAAUCAGUCGAAGAUACCAGCUGGCUGCAACUGUUUAUUAAAAACACAGCACUGUGCAAACACGAAAGUGGACGUAUACGGUGUGACGCCUGCCCGGUGCCGGAAGGUUAAUUGAUGGGGUUAGCGCAAGCGAAGCUCUUGAUCGAAGCCCCGGUAAACGGCGGCCGUAACUAUAACGGUCCUAAGGUAGCGAAAUUCCUUGUCGGGUAAGUUCCGACCUGCACGAAUGGCGUAAUGAUGGCCAGGCUGUCUCCACCCGAGACUCAGUGAAAUUGAACUCGCUGUGAAGAUGCAGUGUACCCGCGGCAAGACGGAAAGACCCCGUGAACCUUUACUAUAGCUUGACACUGAACAUUGAGCCUUGAUGUGUAGGAUAGGUGGGAGGCUUUGAAGUGUGGACGCCAGUCUGCAUGGAGCCGACCUUGAAAUACCACCCUUUAAUGUUUGAUGUUCUAACGUUGACCCGUAAUCCGGGUUGCGGACAGUGUCUGGUGGGUAGUUUGACUGGGGCGGUCUCCUCCUAAAGAGUAACGGAGGAGCACGAAGGUUGGCUAAUCCUGGUCGGACAUCAGGAGGUUAGUGCAAUGGCAUAAGCCAGCUUGACUGCGAGCGUGACGGCGCGAGCAGGUGCGAAAGCAGGUCAUAGUGAUCCGGUGGUUCUGAAUGGAAGGGCCAUCGCUCAACGGAUAAAAGGUACUCCGGGGAUAACAGGCUGAUACCGCCCAAGAGUUCAUAUCGACGGCGGUGUUUGGCACCUCGAUGUCGGCUCAUCACAUCCUGGGGCUGAAGUAGGUCCCAAGGGUAUGGCUGUUCGCCAUUUAAAGUGGUACGCGAGCUGGGUUUAGAACGUCGUGAGACAGUUCGGUCCCUAUCUGCCGUGGGCGCUGGAGAACUGAGGGGGGCUGCUCCUAGUACGAGAGGACCGGAGUGGACGCAUCACUGGUGUUCGGGUUGUCAUGCCAAUGGCACUGCCCGGUAGCUAAAUGCGGAAGAGAUAAGUGCUGAAAGCAUCUAAGCACGAAACUUGCC
rnacentral:rRNA from 1 species